GUCUCAGCCUGUCGGGGAAGGGGAUGUCAGUUUGGGAGGUGCUGCCAGGCUCCAGCAGUGUGGCCUAUGGUCCCAGCUACUCAGGAUGCUGAGGCAGGAAGAGCCAGGAGCUCAAGGCCAGAUGGGCAGCACAGAGAGACCCUUUGAUCUGCUGACCUGUCACGUAAGUGCUUCAGUGCAUGUCUCUUAACCAUGCACCUUAGGACAGAGUCGCCAUCGCUGCAGGUGAUGAUGCCCAGCCAGGGCUCGCAGUCCUGACGCCAUCCUCGAGCACUGCCCUCCUGCAUUUCCUAACGCUGGUCGGGGUCCCACCUGUGGGCAACAGAACCAGGGUGGUGCCCUGGGCCGAGGGCCUGGUGGGUCCUGGUUGGCAGGAAGCUGCUGCACUCCCUGGGUCUGCAGCUGGGGCCUGGCUGGGGCGGCGGGUGGGGUAGAGGGAGGCGCUGCUUCUUCACCCCUGGGAAGAGCCAAGGCGAGGCCUGGCCCCACAAAACCUGCUCGCACUAUCUCAGGGAGCCCUGGAAUAAGAAUCCCUCGUCACGUCAGGUUGUCAGGGCCAACCGGGAAGCUGGCCCGUCCCCCAGCCUCUUCAGCAUGGAAGCUAGCCCUGCCUGGACAGAGCCUCCCUGGAGGGAGGGAAGUGCCUGG
rnacentral:lncRNA from 1 species